AGGGGCUUGCUCCGUCCGCUCCACGCAUCGACCUGGUAUUGCAGUACCUCCAGGAACGGUGCACCUUCUCAA